rnacentral:lncRNA from 1 species
CCCUCAAGAGACUUUAGAAGAAGAUCCAUAAAAUGCAUUUGGUGUGUCUUCACAGUGGUCUCUGACUUGUGGUCAGACUUGCUAAGGUGGAACAAACAAACUUGGGGCUUUUUUCAACUCGGAUUUGAAUGUGGUUGAGAAAACAGAAAAGUGUCAUAAUGUUGUUAGGGUGUUAGUCUGCCACUAUGCAGCCUGAACGAGCACAUAAAGGUUUGAGCUACGUGACAGAGUGUGUGACGCUCGGCCGGGACUCUGAGGCGGUGUACCUGUGUGAGGUGUGUGUGUGUCGUCUCAGUAAGGCUGACGUCAGGAGCCACAUCAUGGGGAGUCUCCAUAGAUACAGAUACAUAAAAGUCGAUCACCCUCACUUUGUGUCAGAGUGGAAGCCGAGUCCUGACCUGUCAAUGCUGGCCCGGCCUCUUAUGGAGAUGGCUCAAAUACUAGAGAAGAGAGAAGGAACUGGGGACGUACAGGUGCUGGAGUUGGAUGCUGCCAUUUAUGAGGAGAUGACGUUGCACAGUGACAUCGAUGCUCUCAUCCUCUUGCAUGCCAUCAGGACUGGGCGGGAGCAGAGAAAUCUCAAGAGCCAAUCAGAGAAGCCAUCAGUCCAGUCGGAGUAUCUCGCCAUCCGAUCACAGAGAACCAUUAUAUCACCUCAGAGGCUCUACGUCCAACCUGAGAAGCCUGUUGUCCAGAUUGAUAACCGAACUGUCCUAUGGAAGAGUCCGACUGCCCGGAGGAACUCAUCUGGCCAAUCAGAGAAGUCCCCUAUAUUGCGGCAGAGUGUUUCUGUCCAAUCACAACUCAGCUCGGGGAAGGAGGAGAGGUUUUUCCAUGAAACCAAGCCUCUGAUUGGUGCUUCACUAAAGUGUCCUGCGUCAGCGUUACCAUGGCAGCAUGACCCCUCUCUUUCACCGACCCCUGAUUAUGUCACAGAUGGAGGUCAGACAUCACUGGGUGGUUCUGAGGAGGCGGGACUACAGGGGGUUGCAUCGAAGGUGAUUCGCUGUGAGCCGGUGUUCAAGGUGAUUCUGUCUAUGACUGACGGUCCCCUGCUGCUGGAGAGGAACUCCUUCAGCCUGGAAACCUCCCUUUCACACUCCUUACCCCUUCACUCCCCACCAUAGAUGCCUCCACCCAGCCCCAUCCCAC